rnacentral:misc_RNA from 1 species
UCUCCGUAGGUGAACCUGCGGAGGGAUCAUUAUAGUAUUACAGAGCUGCGAGAACUGUCGCUAACCCGAACGAAACCGUACGCCCGAGUGCCCGCCCCCAUGUCCACCCCACCCCCAUGUCCACCACCCCGCGCGGCCGCCCGCGGGUGGUUCGGAGGGGCGCUUACGUUUUUACCCACACUUUGUCUUCAGUGCAGAAUGUAUUAAUUGUUUUUACAAUCGCGCUAUCAAUACAACUUUCAACAACGAAUCCCUUGGCUCUCGCAACGACACAGAACG